rnacentral:lncRNA from 1 species
AGUGGCUGGAGCACAAGAAGGCCUUCUGACAGAUUAGGAGUGGCUCAUUAGAAGAAAGCCUAUCCCAUCAUCCAAGCACAGUGGGCCUUGAUGAACAAAGACAGUCUAUGGUUUUAGAGCUUUAUUGUAGAAAGGCAGGGGAAAAGAGAAAAGGUAAAAGAGAGAGAGACCAGCUAUGGCCAAGAGGAGGGAAGGGGGAAAAAGAGAGAGAGAGGAAAGGCUAGGGUAAGAGGUUAGAGAGAGUACGAGGUUAAAGAGUAAAGGGGAGAGAGGACAAGGAGAGAGAGUAAGAGAGAGCGAGGAGGGGCCAAGCAGCCCCUCUUAUAGUGGGCUUGUUAUCUUGCUGUUGCUAGGUAACUGUGGGGAGGAGUCUAGCCUGAAGGCCAGAAGCUUGGAACAUUGUCUAUGUGACUGCUAGCCACAUGCUUCUCUUGUGGGGUUUUAUGGGCAGUAACUUCGACAGGAGCCAGGGUUCCAGGAGACAUAAGGGAAUGCCUUCUGUCCCAUGUAGGUGGGAAUUACCACCAUGGGACUCACCAGGUUUCAGACCUCAGCUCAACUGGACACCAGACUGUCUGUACAUAGCCCAUUGCCCCACAUCCCCUGAGGCAAGGGUUCUAGAGAAUUCCACACUGAUCUGGGAGGAGGGAGGCUGGAAGACCUCACAGCAUCCGAGUCUACUUGAACUCGUCAUGGGGCCAAAGCAGAACUCCUGGAAAAGGUUUCUUAGAAUCUUGAGGCCCAGUGGCCCUUGAUGUCACCUAAAUCCUCUGGGGCCCAAGUGGUAGUUCUUGUGGGGGUCUCUGUAACCUUCUUACAUUUCUUUUUCUGGUGCUGUGAUGAAAUACCCAGAUCAAAGCAAUUUAUGGGAGAGAGCACCUGUGACUCACAGUUGAGGUUACAGCCACAUUUCCCUUUCUGUUAAUAUAAAAAACAAAACAAAACAAAACAAAAAACCCCUGAUGAAUAGCAGCUUAGAGAAGAAAGGGUGUGUCUGGCUUACAAUUCUAGGCUACAGCCGAUCCUUGUGAAGAAGCUAGCACAGAGCAGAGAAGGUGAUGUGACAGGGACAGACCUUGAAU